AGGUAUGUCCCUAGAAAAGAUGUAGCAAUUGACAAUGUGGUAACAAGGGUCUUGUUUCUUUUGAUAUGAAUAAAAGCGUCUCUUCUGUGUUUCUUCCCCAUGAAAAAGAGCCACCGUACGCAUCAAGUAAGAUCCUAAGAAGAUUUCACAUGUUCAGUUUGGGAACGAAGUUUGUUAAUUAAUUUGUGUCGUUCCAUUUCAAUGAUGGGAGAAAAAGGGAGCUACGAAGCAAAAUAUACACCAAGAGAUUGUGCAUGCUUUCUCCGAUAUAUCCCCAUCUUAAAGGUACAAGGGCAUCUAUACUAUGAUUGUUCUCCAUUCUUAAUUAUUUGAUUUUUGCAGCAUGUCCCUAUUAAGGACUGCCAACUCCCACAUGGGAAUAUGCCCCUACCAUUUUCUAGAUUCCGAUCGCAUGCAGUUAAUUUUCAAUUACAGAUGUGAUUUUAAUAAUUACUCGUUACAAAAUUGUUCUAUAAAGACGAAGAAAAUUGUAUAAACAUAAUACAAAAAGC
rnacentral:lncRNA from 1 species